ACCGAUCCACCCAUCAAUGAAGCACUCGAUCAACGUCUCCCUACGACACACACAACCGUUGCAAAGAUUACACGUUUAAAUCCCCGUUCCCUCCACGCGUAAAAUGGCGCGCGUUUCAAGGAAUCGAUAUUUCUUCCGACUCCAAUCCUCUUUGCAUCGUACACACAGCCGAAAACGUAGCAUGUAAUCUGGCACCGGUGAGAAAGGGAAAAAGGUAGCCGAAAACAGAGGAAAAAAUUUUAAAUUCGCCACCACCAAGGCGGGGUGGUUUUCAACGAUCGCACGGUGACAUAUUUCAGACUUGACCAUGUUAUAACGACAUCUCAGACCUCGUUUAACCGCGAAGGUAGGAAAGCACAUAGGUAUACGCGAGUGGAUGAGUGUUAUAUCUGCUCACCCUGAAUUUGCCCCUUUAACGGUUAUAUACAAGAAAAUAUAUACCACGCUAUUGCCUCGCCCGGUUACCCGCGGAAUCGAUCCUUCACGGAACGUGAGGAAAGCUAAGGGUAACUUGUAUCUAAUUUUAAAUUCAUUCCAUUGUAAAAGUCGGUCAAAUUUUUCGAAUCACUCUCAUCCACGGGUCAAUUACAUUCCAUCGGUGCACACUGAUCACGUGUUCGUUACAGGUAGACCUUGAUAAUACCAAAUGCUUUUCUCUCCGAUGGUCGUGCAAUAUCGUCAGUAGGCAGAUUGAAUUUUUUGUCUUUCUUUAUGAUUAUCAAAUCAGCGUUAAUGCGUGUGGAGGAAAAGAAUUCUUCGAAAUUUCCCAUGUAAAAUAUAAAUAAACAUAAGUCAAUGUUCAA